UCCCAUUUCUAGGCUAUCUUUGAAUAUAAUUCUUCCAAGUGUCUAGGGUGACUGCAUGUUAGAUUGGAGAACAUGAGCUGGGGAACUCAGCUCUGUUUUUCAGGUUGAUUUUCUGUGCUUCGUUGGCCUGCAUAUUAUAACUCCACGAGUCAGUUUUUCAGAGAUGGUUGUUAUACUGCGUUUACCAUAAACUGCACCCAUUUUCUCCAUCCCAGCUGUGUGAGAGAGAAUGGCUGCCACUCACUUGCUUCUCCACUGACACCAAAAAAGAGGCUUGAAUUUCGGCUGUAACUUUAGGACAAGAGCUCAGGUACCAGAGAGGAUGGCAGUUCUUUUCCAGUGCAUAAAUAAUGUAUUGGCCGUAUACAUCUCCUGCUGGCAGCUGGCUGCAGCAUGUCAUGCUGAGGAAUGCGAGAAGCAACAAACGAGCACUCCCUUGGCAGCCAGCAAUGAAGAGGCAGUUCAGCUGCCCAUAAAAUGCCAUCGGGCCAUAGUCACACCCUCCCACUGGCUCUCUACUUUAGAGGUGCAUUCUGACCCUUGGAUGGAGAUAAAUUAUCACCAUCUACUAGUGGCUGAAGAGAUAAAGCCAGAAAAUAUAAUAAGGCAAAGAAAUAACAAAGUUUGAGAGAACCUGGCAUAUGUCCCAACACAAUCAAGAAAAGGACAGAGAAGUCGUUUCUGACAUUGUUUCCUUUGCGUCAAGCAACACAACAACCAAGGCUAGCAAAACUGUAAGCAAAACUGAAAAACUAUUUUUUCCCUGUUCUUGUAUCAUUCUGUCUGUAAGUGAAGAAAGGAGCACUUGCAUUUUACAAGUUAUGUGAGUCAGAGGCUGGGGCAUGGCUGUACAUACAGUGCUGCUCAGAUUGUGUGUCUGUGCACAUGGGUGGUGGAAAGCUCACUUUUGCAUUCCCCCCAUCCCACUGCUGCUCUGUGCGGGGCCAGACUGUGUCGAGUUAGAAUAGCCUGAGGUUAUCAGGCUAUCUUGGGGGUUAAUCUAUUUGCAUCAGCGCUGAAGUUAUGAGGGCUAUGGGCAGUAAAGCAUAACAUUACAGUCUUAUGCAUGGAAUGAAGAAGGUGUUCACUUUCCCCUGCUGUUUGAACCUUGUGUGUGCUGUAGUAGAUGAUUCACAAUGAAAACAAACAAGUUCUCCUGUGAGCCACAAUACCUCAGAGAGCAGCCGCUGUUUUCCCAGUGAAGUAACCUAUAGCCCAGUGCUCCUGGUGCUAUGAAUUCCUGUUGAGUGAACACCCCUCUGCUGUGAGCACCACACACAUCACCAGGUGGAAAGAGAGUGAGCCAGGUCUGCCCCCCCACUGACCCCUCAGGAAUCAGUACAUGGUGCCCAUUCUCCCUGUGGUUAACCACUUCUGUUGCCAGCUAAUGUAGUUAGGCCUGCGUCAGUGCUGAAGAUUUCAGGCCCAAACUAGAGCGAGGUGGAGAACGGGAUGUCCAUUUUGUGGAAGAUUUUGAUAUUUUGGUUUCAUUCAGUUGCACAGUAAAAAAAACAAAAAUUGUCAUUCUCCAUGAAAAUGAAUAGAGCCCCAACUCUGGGGCUGUCCACCUGGCAGGAUGCGCCUCAGCUUCAGAUCUGGGAAGCCCUAGGCUCCCCAACUCCAAGGCAGACUGCCUGGUGGGAUGCCCCAGAGCCGUUGAUCCUGGAAACUCUUGGCUCUUCUGAAGGGUUCUAUAAAAUAGAAAAAUAUACUUCCAAGAAGGGCAUCCAUGAAAUAAAUCAAAAUUUAAUAAGAUGUGUUGACUAUUAGAAAGCAUGCUUUCACCAUUGUCUGCUGUUGUGCUGGCAACCACUGACACUGAAUCACAGGGAUAAUAUGUUCCAAAACUUAUUUUGCAAUAAUAGUUUGGGAUUCAGUUGCUUGUUUUAUUGUGCCAAGCGGCUUAACAUAAAAGCACUUUUAAUAACUUCAUUUAUUCCAUGUGUUUAUAUAAAUAACAUGCACAACCUUUUUAUGCAAAGAACAAUUUAAGUAAUGUUUCAUGAUGCAAAAUAAUGCCAUAUGUGUCCUUUCCAAAACCCCGUUAUUCAGUUUGUUCACUUGCCUCUUUCAUGUUGACAAUGCUUCUUUUCCUUUUAAUAUAAUUUUAAAAGGGUUUCCAAGGCUGCUUAAAGUUGGGGGUCUUGGGAUCCAAUAAAACCUGUCAGUUUUCCCUUUGGCAUCAUAGUUUUCGUAUCUUUCAACAAUGAGAAACCUGUCACCGACAGCUCUUGAUCAUGUUUUCCACUGAAAGGAACCCUGGGCUUGGCAAUUAAUACCAGACUUGUCAAUGCAAGUUAAGGUGCCGUUUUAUCUUUAUUUCAUCAGUAUUUAACAAACGGAAUGUAUAUUCCACUGAGAAGUCAUUUUAGUCAGUGCAGUCACAGACCAUAUAUGCACAUUCUGAUCUCAGAAGGCCAGAAUUAUUAUUAUUUAUUAUUAUUGUUUUAUUAUUAUUUACAUUUCCAUACCAGGGGAUAAAAUCAUUCUUGGUGUAACUCCUUCGAAUUCAGUGGAAUUAGAUCAGGGUGAAUUUGGCCAAAAGUGUCUUUACAAUGCCUGCACGAUCUCACAUUAAGAUAGAAAUACAUUGUGCAGCAAGAGCCAUACCAAUGCACUGGCGGCUUGGUCUUGCAGCCUCUUUUCAUGUGAAUAGUAUCAUGAAAUUCAAUGAGGCCAUGUUGCAUGAUCUUUAUUUGAAUGUUCUCACAUGUUUUUAAGAUGACCAAUUAAAAGUGCAUUUAUUUCAAUGUAUAAUCACUUAAACCCAGAGGCUUUUAUAUUAGAUGUGUGUAGUAUAUACAUUUGCUUAUAUCUAGAGCUUCACAUCCUGCAGUUCUAUUUUAAAGCAUUAGUAGAAAGUCACAGGGGGUGAAAUUCAUCCCUGUGCAGAAGAUCAGCCCAUGAAUAAUACACCCCUUAUUUCCUCAAAAUAGGCGUAAAUGCGACUUGGAGGAUACUUGGCUGUACACAACCGCUCCAGAGGGGUACAUUUAAUCCAUAUUGUAUAUGCACAGAAUGCAGUUUUUAAAUACUUAGCUCUGAACAAAAUUGAGCACGAGGACCAUGGAAAAACUGACAAUUUUUGAAAACAAUUAUUUUUGAGCUCUGAGAUAAAAACAUUUCUAAAUCUAAUGUAGAAACUAUAUCAUUUGGUCAUGUUUGGAUAACUCAGAAAUGAUCAAAUGAAAUGUUACUGCACUUUUCUGAAACUGUCACUUUUAUGGAGGACAAAUAAAAGGAAUUUCAGUCCUAAAGAAAAUGUUUAUAGAAAGUUAUUGUAAGCUUGUAUUCAGGUAUUUAUAAAAGUGCUAUUUGUACCAUACUGUCAUUACUAUAAUUCUAUAAGAGGGUAAGUUUCUGGAGUGUAUGCAGUUGUGUAUCCAAAAUAUAUGCUAGUUGGGUACAAUGACUUGCCUGCAGUUUCUUUUGAAAAUGUGGCCCAUUAUUUUUAGUCAAAGAUUGACAUAAAUUAAUGGUUGGAACAAUCUUAAAAUACAGCACCACCUUCCUUUCAAGACUCUUUUUUUUAAUUUGCUUUUUUCCAAGAGAUGGAUUUUAAUACAACUCUUAAGAGUAUUCAUUCCUGCAUUUUAAAAUAUCAGAUCUGACCAACCUGAUGCUCAGGUUGCCACUUCUGAGAGUUUUCUUUCUGGGACAAAUUAAUCCAUUGAGAGGUGGCCUUGUGUCAUCAUGAAUCGUCAUAUUGCAUCAGAACAUUGUUUUGUAGUGAUAAUGUUCCCAAGUUGAGAAUAUUUUUGCAAGCUCUGGAAGGGUUUUCAAGUCUUGGGGAAAUGGAAUCACCCUGCUAAACAUAUGAGAAACAAUCCUAGCCCUGGAAGGAGCUUCUGAGAAGCUCCAAAGUGACUUAGAAUCCUAAGUUCCAUUCUUAAAAGCAACAUAGGCUCUUAAGAGCCUACGUCUCAUUAAAAAUCAGUGGGACUUACACUCCUAAAUCACUCAGCUGGGUUUUGAAAAAAUUUCCCCUGGUCUAAUUUGGAAGAAGUUUCUUCUGGAUCACAGGGAAUAGUAAAGACAAGAAUCAGACAAACUUCCAGGGGGGAAAGAACCUCAGAAUUUAAGAAUUUGAUUUUAUAAAUUUGUGCCACAUACAAAAAAGUCUAUGGAUGUUUUGUAAUCCAAACAAUUAAAAGCAUCCUCAAGUAAGUAUCAAGUUUGUUAUGAACGUUAAAGCAGUUGUAGACUUUUGAGUAUAAAUAGAAACACUUGCAUUUGAACUCUUGUUCACUACCAUUCCAAACCAAUUAACAGCUGCAAUGAAAGUAAAGGAGUAAAUGACCAACCCAGAUUAACAAUGACUCCUCUACACUAAAUAAGCUCAGUAAAUUUUGGGGGUCAUAUUUUGAUCUUAGUUGUACCAGUGUAACUCCAUUGACAUCAAUGGAAUGACUCCAUUUUUUUUUUAAUUGAGAUGCUCCAAUACUAUAUUACAGGGGGCCUGUAAUGGGCUGUGCAUUCCAUACAGGCCCUGAAAGGGUUGAUGUGGACCUGAAAGGGUUGAUGUGGGCCUGAAAAGCCAGUUAUGAUAUCUAGCUGCCCCUGAAGGGAGAUCAAGGCUUAACUGAACAUGAAGCCCAGCUGGGCAGGGGCAGGCUGGUUGGUAUAAAGCCAGGAAGCUGUGAGUUCAAGGAGGCUACAGGGAGAGAGUCUGUAGUGAGUCUCUAGGUGCAGAGAGGUGGGGAGGAGAAAACCCAAGAGAUAGAAUAAGCUUUGGGAUCAUAGCCCUGGAAGAAGGGUCAACCCCAGAGGAACAGUGGAGAAAAACAGCCUGAGGGCUGAGCAGGAAGAAGCCCAGGGAAACAGCAGCAAGCAGUAGGACUGAGCAAACAGUGGCUGCUUGUUUAUAGGGUCCCUGGGUUGGAACCCACUGUAAAAGCAGGGCCACCCGGGGGGGCAAGUAGGGCAAUUUGCCCCAGGCCCCGGGCCCCGCAGGGGCCCCCAUGAGAGUUUUUCGGGGCCCCUGGAGCGGGGUCCUUCACUCACUCCGGGGGGCCCCGGGAAACUCUCACGGGGCCUGGGCCCCCAGAGCUUCUUCGGCAGCAGUUUGGCGGCGGGGGGUCCUUCCGCUCUGGGACCCGCUGCUGAAGUGCCCUGAAGACCCGCGGCGGGGGUCCUUCCGCCCCGGGACCCGCCGCCGAAGUGCCGGGUCUUCAGCGGCAAUUCGGUGGCGGGGGGCCCCCUGCCGCCGAAGACCCCAGGCCCCCUGAAUCCUCUGGGCGGCCCUGUGUAAAAGGCAGGCCUGGGUUCCCCUUUCAGCCACUGGGAAGUAGCACAGGAUUGUGAGAAACACUGGUCUGGCAGGACUUUGUAGUCUGCCCUCCUUUCUGGGGUAUCCCAGUGACCUGGGGGCAGGGGAGACAACCCUGGGGUGCGCAAAUGACAGAAGUGGGAGCCAGACCAGAUGAGAGCUGAUUCCCCAGACACAGCUACAAGGAGAUGCCCCCAACUGUCAGUGAAGCCUGUGACAGGGUCAUAUAAGACUCUUAGAUGGAUAGCAUUACACUGGGUAACUGAGAUUAGAAUUGGCCCUUGACACUUCGUAUUUCAUACUGUGGUUGAUUUUUACCAGGGUGCAUGUUCCUUAAAUGACAGUGCAGUUUUUAUUUUAAUUUCACUGCACAUCUGAGCAUCACAGCAUGUUUUUGAAAUGCUGGUUCCAAGCACUGUAAUUUAGAAGGGUAAAAAGAUCCUGCUUUUUUCAGGUGUCUUAGAUUCAGUUUCAUUAUAGAUUUUUUUAAAGAUACUUAUUUAAAAAGACUUCACUUUAUCUAGUGCCAUUUGCUUAAGAAGUCAGAGAAGGGGGAACAAACGGAGUCUUUCAUCUAGGGAGAAGGAAAUUGUGUUGUACAGGUUUAGUGAAGAAGCAGACUACUUAAUGACCAUUCCAACACUUGGUGCUGAAAGCCUCUAUACUUACUUUUUCUACUCUCGGGUGUAACCAGGCACACAGUUUAACUCUGCGUCUCCUAUCAGAUGUACCCAGAGCUUCCUAUGAAAAUAUUACAUUCUAAAAGCUUGUUAAGAAAUGGUAUUCAUGACAAAGGAUGCACAGAUCUUCAUUAACACUUUCCUAAACAAGGUUGCCAUAUAUGUGGUCAUCAUGUUAUUAAAAUCAACUACUGCAUAUACUGAUAGCCUGCUUCUUCAAAUGUGGAAGCAAAUUUUCAUUUAAGCAAUUUGUCUUUUGACUGCAAAAUGUUUGACUGCAGGAAUGUUGUCUUUUUACUCCAAAAUACUGUUUGUUUAUGGCACCACAGAAAGUAUGCAUCAUAACAAUACUGAUAUUGAUUGCAGUUUCCAAUACUUGGUUUCCAUAGAUGCAAAAAUAUUUCUCUUGCCAGCUCAUUUUCUGCUUUUUUUUUUUUUUGUUUUAGUCAUGCUACAAAAUGAAUUCCCCACAUUGCACUUUAACAACUUCACCUGCUCUGAUCAGAGAGUCAGUCUAAAAUAUCUCUGGCUACUGUGUAGCAAGUCCAGUUUAAACAUUGCUUAGAUGGCUUGCUUCAACAUUGAAAAGGCACUUCUAAGUUGUUUCCCUGAAUACUCUUUUCCAUUUGGAGUAAAGUAGCUGGCCUGUCUCUGAUCCUAUUUUAAGCCCGAGGACAGCUUCAUUGAGUGUAUCAGUUAAAUUACAUCAUUCAUCUAUGCUCUAGCAUAGGAAACUGAGUUCUUAUAGAGGAUUAUAACAGGAAUAUAACAAUGUCAUUUAAAAGAUAAGGGGCCUGAGAUGUAUUUCUUGCAUGUAAGGAGCAAGAUAACACUUAAUUCAACAUAUAGGGUCCCUACCAAGGGGAGCUUUGAGAGGAAAGUAGACAAAGAAUCUCUUUGCUUAGUAAUAAGGGAGGAAAAUUAAAUUUCCUCAGACAAGCGACCUUUGGCUUUGUGGGGAAGUAGACUUGGCACUAGAAUGCUUUUAUUUUACUUAACUAAUCUCAAGCAUUCCCAGUUAAUUUGGGAAGGUUUAUGGGUUUUAUUUUGUUGUUUGGAUUGAAACUCUCGCAGAAAAACUCCUAGUCUGAAACUUUUAAAGAUCAGGCACAUUUUUACCCUUAUGAGUUUUCAGUAGAAUGUUCCCCAAGGAGUUAAAAUGGCUAAAGUACCAAACCAAAGGCUUCCUGGAUUGCAGAGAUGGAAAAGAAAAAUGCAUGGGACUAGUUAACGUUUUGCUCCUGAGUGGUCAUUAAAAUAGACUGAAACAGGAAGGGGAGCUUUACUGUACCAGUGGAACUGGAAGAAGAACUGUGGGGGUGCUCGCUUCUGCUUUAACCAGAGGAGCAGGAGCUGCUCUCCAAUCUGUUUUCUCUUCUUUUAGCCUUGGUUCCUGAAUUAGAUGGAGAACAGUCAAUCAAGUUGGUUUAAUGCAGAUUUGCUUGGGAGGGAAUAAAGGGGAAAUGGUUCAAAAGCACCUAGGUGGAGAGAGAGAGAGUAUUUCUGAAGCUGAUGGUCCAGCACUGGAAGGACAGCUCUAAUCUGUCUAUUAACCAAUUAAUAAUAACCUUAUCUGCUGCAAAGUUUGAAAUGUUUCAGGGCCUGGUGGAAUGUGCUGAGCAUUUAGCAGAUUAGGGCACUGCAGUCUUGGAAAUUGAGACAGCAGAUAGCUGUAACCACACACAGUUAGACAGUUAAAGUAUUUCAUCACCCUCAGGACUUCUUGGUCAACAGGCCUUGGUCCUCCUCCCUCUUCUGGAAUUUCAAUGUAACUAAUGAGUGUAUUAUUGUAUGUUUUGUCACUGCUUUGAUUUGUCAGAUUGUUUCCUUUUGCUUUGGGUUUUGAAUAAUCAGUAAAAUAUAUGAAAACACAAAAGGAAAGAAGUGGGGAGUAGCUCUCGGAGAGGGCAUAGUUGGCUGUACUACACCAGAAUAAUCACUUUGGAAGGGUGUCCAAAGCCAUAAUUUUCUGUUUUGCUUUUUUGCCUGAAACCAUAAUCUGAUAUUUAUCAAAUAAAUGGAAGAAAAUCC